rnacentral:misc_RNA from 1 species
CACCCCUCAAACCUCCUUUGGUUUGGUGUUGGGCGAGGCCCGGCGAGGGCCCGCCUCAAAAUCAGUGACGGUGAUCUAUCCACCUCGGGCGUACAAGUAUCGCGACGUAGGGCGGUAGAGCACCGGUUUUCUUCCUCGGAAGACUUCUGAA